AUAUCUCUCUGUACGGGAAGGAUGAGAAGCUUCUACCAGGGUUCGAUUCGAGCGCAGCGAGAAAGCGUUGCCGCAGGCAACGACCCGAAGGGCGAA
rnacentral:sRNA from 2 species